rnacentral:rRNA from 1 species
GUCGUAACAAGGUCUCCGUUGGUGAACCAGCGGAGGGAUCAUUACCGAGUUUUCAACUCCCUAACCCUUCUGUGAACCUACCUAUCGUUGCUUCGGCGGACUCACCCAGGCCGGACGCGGGCUGGCCGCCGGGGACCCUAAACUCUUGUAUUAUCAGCAUCUUCUGAAUACGCCGCAAGGCAAAACAAAUAAAUUAAAACUUUCAACAACGGAUCUCUUGGCUCUGGCAUCGAUGAAGAACGCAGCGAAACGCGAUAAGUAAUGUGAAUUGCAGAAUCCAGUGAAUCAUCGAAUCUUUGAACGCACAUUGCGCCCGCCAGCAUUCUGGCGGGCAUGCCUGUUCGAGCGUCAUUACAACCCUCGACUUCCCUAGGGAAGUCGGCGUUGGGGACCGGCAGCACACCGCCGGCCCUGAAAUGGAGUGGCGGCCCGUCCGCGGCGACCUCUGCGUAGUAAACCAACUCGCACCGGAACCCCGACGUGGCCACGCCGUAAAACACCCAACUUCUAAACGUUGACCUCGAAUCAGGUAGGACUACCCGCUGAACUUAAGCAUAUCA